AAUUUAAUGAUUCAAUAUUGAAUAGUGACGCAUAUUUAAAUGAAAUACUUCAGCCAUAUUUAAUUAAUAAUGGAGCAUUUGAAUACACUAUCACCAGAGUAGAAUGUAUAUAUUUUUACAUUACCAUGUGUGAUGAAUGUGAUAUACAAGUCGAAUUCAAUGAACACAUUUACGACAUCAACAACGAGGUUCACUGCCUUGGCAGAAUUUAUAAAGUAGUACACAUAUGUAUGAAAUUUAUAAAACCAAUCAGCUCUUUAAAGAUAAGUACAAAAUGUACAGACAAUUCCAUUCAUAGGUAUUGGGCUAGAAGUGAGAUUUACUCAUAUACACCUAAUAAAUAUUGUCUAGAUACAUUAACUUCAAGUCGUCUAUAUUCAACAGAUGCAGUUGCUAAAAGUGGUAAUAAUUCUUGUUCCACAAGAAUGGAAAAUAAAUGUAAACAGAAUUGUAUUAUUUGUUGUGAUAACAAAUGUUACGAAUAUAACACACAAUUUAAUUGGAAUUAUGAUUAUUUAUAUACUUUAAUUCUAAUCCCUGUUGUUAUUAUUUUAAUAGGUGUGAUACUCUGUUGUUUGAGAAAAAUUAGAAAUAAAAAAAAAUUAGAUGAGGAAGUAUAUUACACAGUUUUUAAUAGAAACAAGCCAAAACCAGUUUGUAGAACCAAUGAACACGACACAGAUGGACACGUGACAGUGUUAAUGAUAUCUAAAAGUAGAAAUGUCAGAAAAUAAACAAAAUAAGGAACAUUU